GACGAACGCUGGCGGCGUGCCUAAUACAUGCAAGUAGAACGCUGAAGGAGGAGCUUGCUCUUCUGGAUGAGUUGCGAACGGGUGAGUAACGCGUAGGUAACCUGCCUGGUAGCGGGGGAUAACUAUUGGAAACGAUAGCUAAUACCGCAUAACAGUAGAUGUUGCAUGACAUUUACUUAAAAGGUGCAAUUGCAUCACUACCAGAUGGACCUGCGUUGUAUUAGCUAGUUGGUGGGGUAACGGCUCACCAAGGCGACGAUACAUAGCCGACCUGAGAGGGUGAUCGGCCACACUGGGACUGAGACACGGCCCAGACUCCUACGGGAGGCAGCAGUAGGGAAUCUUCGGCAAUGGACGGAAGUCUGACCGAGCAACGCCGCGUGAGUGAAGAAGGUUUUCGGAUCGUAAAGCUCCGUUGUAAGAGAAGAACGAGUGUGAGAGUGGAAAGUUCACACUGUGACGGUAUCUUACCAGAAAGAGACGGCUAACUACGUG
rnacentral:rRNA from 1 species